rnacentral:rRNA from 1 species
UGGGGAAUAUUGGACAAUGGGCGAAAGCCUGAUCCAGCCAUGCCGCGUGUGUGAAGAAGGGCUUCGGAUUGUAAAGCACUUUAAGGUGGGAGGAAGGGCAUUAACCUAAUACGUUAGUGUUUUGACGUUACCGACAGAAUAAGCACCGGCUAACUCUGUGCCAGCAGCCGCGGUAAUACAGAGGGUGCAAGCGUUAAUCGGAAUUACUGGGCGUAAAGCGCGCGUAGGUGGUUUGUUAAGUUGGAUGUGAAAUCCCCGGGCUCAACCUGGGAACUGCAUUCAAAACUGACUGACUAGAGUAUGGUAGAGGGUGGUGGAAUUUCCUGUGUAGCGGUGAAAUGCGUAGAUAUAGGAAGGAACACCAGUGGCGAAGGCGACCACCUGGACUAAUACUGACACUGAGGUGCGAAAGCGUGGGGAGCAAACA